GAAAUGCGAUAAGUAAUGUGAAUUGCAGAAGUCAGUGAAUCAUCGAAGCUUUGAACGCACCUUGCGCUCCUUGGUAUUCCUUGGAGCAUGCCUGUUUGAGUAUCAUGAAAUCUUCAAAGUAAAUCUUUUGUUAACUCAAUUGGUUUCUACUUUGGUAUUGGAGGUCUUUGCAGCUUCACACCUGCUCCUCUUUGUUCAUUAGCUGGAUCUCAGUGUUAUGCUUGGUUCCACUCGGCGUGAUAAGUUAUCUAUCGCUGAGGACACUGUAAAAGGUGGCCAAGGUAAAUGCAGAUGAACCGCUUCUAAUAGUCCAUUGACUUGGACAAUACUUUUAUGAUCUGAUCUCAAAUCAGGUAGGACUACCCGCUGAACUUAAGC
rnacentral:misc_RNA from 1 species